GAUCCCUAGCUGGUCUGAGAGGAUGAUCAGCCACACUGGAACUGAGACACGGUCCAGACUCCUACGGGAGGCAGCAGUGGGGAAUAUUGCACAAUGGGCGCAAGCCUGAUGCAGCCAUGCCGCGUGUAUGAAGAAGGCCUUCGGGUUGUAAAGUACUUUCAGUCGUGAGGAAGGUAGUGUAGUUAAUAGCUGCAUUAUUUGACGUUAGCGACAGAAGAAGCACCGGCUAACUCCGUGCCAGCAGCCGCGGUAAUACGGAGGGUGCGAGCGUUAAUCGGAAU
rnacentral:rRNA from 1 species